UACAGAGGGGGCGAGCGUUGUUCGGAAUUACUGGGCGUAAAGGGCGCGUAGGCGGCCUUCUAAGUCGAACGUGAAAUCCCCGGGCUCAACCCGGGAACUGCGUCCGAUACUGGGAGGCUUGAAUCCGGGAGAGGGAUGUGGAAUUCCAGGUGUAGCGGUGAAAUGCGUAGAUAUCUGGAGGAACACCGGUGGCGAAGGCGGCAUCCUGGACCGGUAUUGACGCUGAGGCGCGGAAAGCCAGGGGAGCAAAC
rnacentral:rRNA from 1 species